rnacentral:rRNA from 1 species
GUGAGGAAUAUUGGUCAAUGGGCGGAAGCCUGAACCAGCCAUGCCGCGUGCAGGAAGACGGCCCUACGGGUUGUAAACUGCUUUUCCGGGGGAAGAAUAAGGGCGAUGCGUCGUCCGAUGCCGGUACCCCGGGAAUAAGGAUCGGCUAACUCCGUGCCAGCAGCCGCGGUAAUACGGAGGAUCCGAGCGUUAUCCGGAUUUACUGGGUUUAAAGGGUGCGUAGGCGGGCGCCUAAGUCAGCGGUGAAAGGCUGCGGCUCAACCGUAGGAUGGCCGUUGAUACUGGGCGCCUUGGAUUCGGUCGAGGCGGGUGGAAUGCGCGGUGUAGCGGUGAAAUGCUUAGAUAUCGCGCAGAACGCCGAUUGCGAAGGCAGCUCGCCAGGCCGAGAUUGACGCUGAGGCACGACAGCGUGGGGAUCGAACAGGAUUAGAAACCCGAGUAGUCC